AGGACGAACGCUGGCGGCGUGCUUAACACAUGCAAGUCGAGCGGUGAUCCUCCUUCGGGAGGUGAUCAGCGGCGAACGGGUGAGUAACACGUGGGCAACCUGCCCCUCACACUGGGAUAACCUCGGGAAACCGGGCUAAUACCGGAUACGACCUCGAGCGGCAUCUCUUGAGGUGGAAAGCUCCGACGGUGAGGGAUGGGCCCGCGGCCUAUCAGCUGUUGGUGGGGUAAUGGCCUACCAAGGCGACGACGGGUA
rnacentral:rRNA from 1 species